GGCUCGGUGAUGGAUUUUCCACGUCUGUCUUUGGUACUUAUCACGGCGUUCAUCGUUAUUCCAUUAAGCAGAAGAUGCCUGUUCGAAUCAGGCCUGAGCCA